CCACCUGCACCCACCUUAAAACGAUUUCUUAGCAUCUAGAAACUGAGCUCAUCCUUGGGACACUUCUGUACUUCUCAAACUACUUGCCUGGCUUGGCCUGUAGGGGAAUGAGGAAUAAUGCUCUUUGGAGAAGCGCAGAGAGUUACACAUAGCAAGCUGUCUUUUACCAAGUCAGACUAUUGGCCCAUUUAACUCAGUUCUGUCAACACUGACUGGCAGCAGUUCUCCAGGGUUUCUUUUGCCUGGAGAUCUACCUGGGAAGUUUUGCAUGCAAAGCAUGUGCUCUUCCCUUGAGCUACGGUCCUGACCCAAGUUCACAUUUGCUAUCAGGAUUAAUUUUCUUGAUUUUUUUAAAUAUUUUUUAAUUAAAUCAGAUUUUUUCUAUUUAAAUUGGAUUUUUAAAAUAAAAUGCUUUUGGAGGAAAAAUCUUUCUAAAGAUAGUUUUCUAUUUAAGUUACAUUAUAGUCCAAAGGCUAUUCAUCAGGAAAUAAGGAUUUUUUUAAAGUUUUUCAUGUGUGCUAAAAUUCAGUCCACUUUUUUUUAAAAAAAACACCAUUUAACCACAUCAGUUAACAAACAUGGAUACAUAUGCUAUAAUUUUAUUGUUUUAGUUAAAUAAAUUAUUUAAAUUGUUAUUAAGGAAAUGAUCUUUUCUCUCCUUCCAAUAAAGUACAGCAGAAAAGCUGUCCAAAUAUAAACAGUUAACUUAUUAAACCUCACAAUAAUUUCACAAUUACUGUAUCUGCCUAUGUAUUUCUAAUAGUAUAACCAAAUCAGUAAUUUUUGAUAUAACUGUAAAAACUACUCUGAAAAUUGAUUAUUCCAAAAAUGAAACCUUCAUCUGGUUGUAAAUAUUAAGAUUAUACCAGCAAGAAUGAAUAUUUCUGUAAAAAAAAAAAAGAUUUAAAUCAAGUAUUACUGACUAGUGAUUUAAAUCAAAUCAUAUUGACUAGUGAUUUAAAUCGUGAUCCACCCUGUUUGUGACUAAUUGCCAUGUUCAAGAAGAGGAAGGAAAGUAUUUGCAAAAGGAUCAGAAGGUGCGAGAUGCAGGCAGAAACCAGUCAAUAGUUGGAGAAUAGGCAGAGAUCUGAAUAGCUUU